rnacentral:rRNA from 1 species
AAAGGUAGCGUAAUCAUUAGUUUUUUAAUUGAAAGCUCGUAUGAAUGGUUGGACGAGGUAUAUACUGUCUUUAUUUAAUUUAUAGUAGAAUUUAACUUUUGAGUGAAAAGGCUUAAAUGUUAUUAAUAGACGAGAAGACCCUAUAGAUCUUUAUAUGUUGAUUUAUUAAUUAUAUUAAGAUUAUUUAUAAAUAAAUAAUUUAACGUAUUUUAUUGGGGUAAUAUAAAGAUUAAUAUAAUUCUUUGAAUAUUAAAACAAUAAUAAAUGAAUAAUUGAUCCAUUAAUAUUGAUUGUAAGAUUAAGUUACCUUAGGGAUAACAGCGUAAUUUUUUUUGAGAGUUCAUAUCGAUAAAAAAGU